rnacentral:rRNA from 1 species
UAAAAUGGGAGGUAAAUUUCUCCUAAGGCUAAAUAACGGCGAGAGACCGAUAGCGAACAAGUACCGUGAGGGAAAGAUGAAAAGAACUUUGAAAAGAGAGUUAAACAGUACGUGAAAUUGUUGAAAGGGAAACGAUUGAAGCCAGUCGUACCUAUGGGUAAUCAGCCUUUUGGGUGUGAUUUUGUGGAGCGUGAGGAGUUAAACGCCCUCAUGCCUGCAUAUUCGUGCACUUUGGGUGUACUUGCCCGUGUGUAAGUUAACAUCAAUUUUGGUGGUCAUAAAAUGGCUGGAGGAAUGUAGCUUCGAUCUUGUAUUGAAGUGUUAUAGCCUUCGGUAGAUGUGACGAUCGGGAUUGAGGAUUGCAACGGAUACCCUUCGGGGCUACCUGUCUGAUCUCUGAUUGUUGCUCUGGUGCCGAAAGCUUGCUUACGGUUAUCAAAGUCGAUGGUCAAUAGGUUAGAAUGGGUUAAAUUCGUUAAGGAUGUUGACGUAAUGGCUUUAAACGACCCGUCUUGAAACACGGACCAAGGAG